CCCCAAUAUCGACCUUCAGAUGGCUGCCCCAAUAUCAACCUUCGGAUGACUGCCCAGAUAUCAACCUUCAGAUGGCUGCCCAGCUGACCUUCGGAUGCCUCCCCAUGAUAUUCACCUUCAGCUGGCUGCCCAAAUGUCAACCUCUGAAUGGCUCCCCAGAGAUCCACCUUCGGAUGUCUCCAAGAUAUCCAACUUGAGAUGAGGUCUGAGACAUGGAGAGGAUGUGCUGAGACUCAAAAUCAUGGGCUAUGAAUCUAGUAGUUCUUUGAAAUCAACUGAGGAAGGAAUCAGCACUACUGAUAUUGACAGCUGCAGUUUAUACAAGAGAGCACCUAUGAACAGAGUUGGGUUGUGAGAGCUAAGACAGGGAGAGAAUGCAGCAAGUUAUGAUGUCGGACUUCGGGAUCUCAAGUGAUGUCUACCCAUCAAUAAGUAGAUGUCUAAGACCAGCUUCUGAUACAUGAGCUUCAC